CCCCCCGCUCCCCGCCGCCGCCUCCUGCCGCCGCGCCGGGCUCCCUGCACUGGCCGGGGAGGCUCCCAGGGAAGUGAUGCUCCUGCCUCCCGGCAAGGCUGGGCAGCGCGGGCUCUGAAGGGCUGAGCUGAGAGCCGGUUCCCCUUCCCCUCGCCUCUCCUCCGCCUCCUCCUCCGCCAUGGCAACACGGGAGGCAGCCUGCCAGCCCCUUGCCCUGCUCUGCCACCGCUCGGAGCCGGCGUCCCCAGCCCCGGGAGCUGGGAAACAGACCCCUUCUUUGUCACUUGCCUCUUGGCCAGAGGCGGGGGCGGUGGGGGGAGAGGAUGUCACGGCGGCUCCACUGGGCUCGGUGCUCUGCGAUUUGUCUGAGCAAGGGGGCUUGCUCGCGCUUAUUAAUGCAAAUCUAAUGAAGUAAAGUCAGAGCUCCCUGGGGUAAGGGGAAGCAGGUGCUGGUUUGUUUCAGGCAGGGAAAUUAAUGUGGAGGCACGGUUAUUUAUUUUUUUCUAAGUAUCUAAUCACUCUCAAUUUCCGAAGGAUGAAAGUACAUGUGGAGACAUUUCAAUGCCUUCACAUUUCCACGGGUGGUAUUUCCCUUUAAAGUUUUACAUGCAUCCUCCCCCCCACCACCACCACCACCACAAAGCUGCUGAAUUAUGCAUUGUCUGCAGGGGAAAUUAAUUUUGAUCAAAACAGGGGAGUUUGUUUAAAAAUAUAUCUACACAUAUUGUUUGCCACUAAACUGCAUAAUAACCCUGAUCAUUUUGAAUAUUUGACUAAGACAUUUCAAAUCCUAAAGGAAAAGUUGCAGAAAAAGGAAAUCCCAACCAGCUGCAAGAUUCCUUAGCUCUUCAGGAGAGAAAAAUUCCUUUUUGGGGUGGGGGGAGAAUCUUUUUUAUAUAUAUAUUUGUACUUUAUUCCAGAAAUAAACGUAUAUGUUUGUACUUUAUUUCAGAAAUUAAAUCUUGGGCUGUAAAGAAGAAGCAUGGCCCAAGUUUGCCCUCCAAAAGGUUCUGAUUGUGAGUAAUAAUCCAAAGGGGAAAACAGCACAGAGAAAAAUGAACAGAACAUAUGGUGCCUUCUAUCAGUCAUCAUUACUGUUUCUUCAGCUAUGUCAACACCCCACAAAUAGAAAAAUGAGUGUGAAUUUCUUCCUACUGAAAGAGUAAAGAAGAAAUGAUGUGGAUGUGUUUCCAUGCCCAGAGUGGAAUUACUAGUAGAUGCAAUCCCUGACCCUGAAACCUGUGUGUAUGUACCUACGUUGGAAGAGGUUUGCUCUGCCAUAAAGAAACUGGGAGUGCUGCUGGAGCCAAUGGCAUACUGCCCAAACUGCUCAUAGCAUUACACCAACUUUUUGUCCAGGCUUGGACUUCUUGGAAGGUACCAAUGGAGUUGAAGUAAAGGACAGUCAUCCCAUUAUAAGGGGAAAGGCCAACCACUAAGUGCAACACCUACAGGCCAAUCACUCCUUCUGUUCCAGGAAAAGCUUUUACAUGUGCCCUACUCACUCAGCUCCAGUCUCUCCUUAUGAAACACUGUCACCCAGAGCAUUUGGGCUUCAUUGCUGGGUGAUCUACAAUGGACGCUACACUGGAUCUUUGCCUUUUAUCUACAAUCCAUCACAAAUUCAGUUGUCCUUUGACAGCAGCAUAUUUAGAUCUAAAGGCAGCUCUAGCAACAGAAUCAAAAGGUGCUCUGUGUGAGGCCCUACAAGGAACUGGAGUUCCUGUCAUCCUCGUGAGGUUAAUUCAAGAUCUACAUAAUGACUCAGGGACAUGGGUGCAAUGAGGGAAUCCAUAGGUCCUACAGGUUUUACACUAGAUCUGGGGUGAAGCAAAGAUGUAUCCUGGCCCCAGCCCUGUUAUGCAACGCUAUGGAUUGGCUCCUCAAACAUAACUUUGUAAAUAUUGAUAUAACUGUUGCUUCGACUUCUUUACCAACCUGGAUUAUGCGGAUGAUGUCAUUUUCUUCAGACAGGAUUCAAAUGACCUUAAAGACAUAUUAGAGAGCUUCCAGCACAUGGCACCUGCCCCAGGGCUAAGGGUUUCUUGGGUAAAAACAAAAAUCCGGAGUGUCUGUGCAAAAGUUGCGCUAUAAGACAUUUGUGCUGUUGGACAAGCCAUGGAAGUAGUGGAUGAUUUCAUUUAUCUAGGCAGUGAUGUGUCAUCAAAUGGGCACAGACAACCUAAGGAGAAUCAGUUUAGAAGCCUCAGCCAUGAAGGACCUGCUUAGGGUCUGGAGCCCAAAAGAGAUGGAGAAACUGAGGCACAGAAAACACAAGUGACUUGGAGUGUCACUGUCAGAGCUGGGAAGAAAUUCCAGGAGUAGAGUCCCCUGCAGUAUUCACUGGACAUCUCCCUUGUGCAGGUCUGCAUAUCUGCAUAUUUUUUGGAAUCAGGUGGUAUUUUCAGUGUGGCAUAUCAUGUAAUUGUGUUGAGUAUAUCUGGAAUGUUAAACACUUAUUUUGAGUUGUAAGCCUUUUGACCCAGUGCCAAUAAUUAUGUGCUAUUGGGAGGCAGGUUUAGAGAGAGAAUUAAUGAUAAUAAUUAUUAACAAUGAGAUUUGCCUAAAUUUUAAAGCUGUCAUUAAAUUGUUUUGCCCUUUCUUUACUUGUAUCUAAUUUUUGCUCACUAUAUUUCCAGUAUAUUUUACUAAGAUAUAAUACAUGUGGAGUUUAUAUUGGAAUAUGUCAAAAAUCACAAUUUCCCUUGCAUUCCAUGUCUGCUUGGAAACACUGACUUAAAUACAACUGCUCGAGUUUCGGCAUGUUUAAAUGUACUUUCUUGAAUGAAGAAAAACUGCACAGCCAAUGAAAAGAGUAUUGCCUAAUGACGAGAUGUUAUCGCCUGCAUUGAGGAGCAUUUCAGAUGGGUUGUGUAGAGGCAGAAUCCAAGUAGAUAUGUUCCUAUUUUCUCACCGAGAGCCUGAUCCUACUCCAAUAAACCCAGUGGAAAGACUCCCAGUGACUCAAGUGCACUACAUAGAAUUUGUUUUGAAUAGAAACAUCAUUUUCAAUCAUAAAUGGCUCCUUUAUCAUUCUUAAAGGCAUGCUUUGCAUUGUGGAGUCAGUGCUCUCAACUGAUGUUGGAAAAAGAUAACAACGCUGUGCUGUGCAGCUCCGCACUGUCCAGAACAGAAGAGGGUGGCUGUCAAUGAAGGACUGAAUUAAUUGUGUCUGGAUUACGGUUAAAUUGCAGGUUUGCUUUGGUAGUCAUGCUCGGAUUUUAUUUACUCUUAAUAAUGCCGGCAUGUUAUACUGGUGAAUGGAUGGAACUUGGAUAGUGGAAGAUGUGGCCUUGGAGGAUUGUAAUACAUAUAUCAUGUCUUCAUUUUUUUUGUUUCCUUUCCUAAAAUCUAUUGGAUUGUAAAAAUGGUGUCUUGUGGUCCAUUGCCAUCACCAAUAUGUUUUUCCUGCUCACUACAAAAAUUUGCCUUUUUUCCUUAACAGCGAGAAUAGUGUGAACUAAGUGAAACUCCAGUUUGUUUCUAGGGUAAGUGGACAGGUAGUUUAGCCAAGGGGAUUGAGUAUGUAGAGUGCAAUGGCCAGGUUUUAAUUUAUUUCCCAGAGACAGACUUAGGUGGUUCAUUAUCAUCUUGUAUUUGGAAGAUCAUUUUCAUUGUGAACGUUCUACACUAUUUACCCCCUUAAAAAUAUAUUUCAUCCAAGCCUGUACGUAGCAUGUUGUCCUGGGUACAUAUGCUUAUUCAUGAACGCCAUAAAAACAGAGCUUAAACAAAUCAGAUAUACAUGGACAAAACUCUCUUUGCCAGCACAAGAGCUGCGUUUGGGCUCAGCAUCCCUCUGCACUCUAUGCAGCUGCUUAUUUAAUUAAAUGCAGUAACAUGGAGCCAUAUGCCCCCUCCUCUUCAAAAACCCACAGGAGGGGGAAACUACAUCAAUACAGCUGCAGCUUUCAAGCUCUGUGUAAGCUGGGCCAUUCUCUCCUCAGAAAAUAAGGAGUGGCCCUUUGAAUUCCAUGGGGAAUCCUGGCCCUAAUCCUGCAGAUCUUGGGACAUCUGCUCACUCAGUGCUAACGCAUCUGUGGAACAGCCCCUCCACUACCGACACAUAUGCACACUCAUGGCAUCAUGACUGACUUUUUGCCAUUGGCCACUGGGUAUCUCCCUCUUAACUAUUCCCCACACCACAUCUCCUCAGGGAAAUAGAAGCAGCAGAUUGGAAGUAAACGUUCCAAGGUGCAGUAUUAACAUCGUAUGGAUUCCUGCUGGACAAUCCACUAGGGAUAUAGACUGCCUAGACCAGAUGCCCCAAGUCCAUACACUCUCUGCAUGGGGUUAUGCAGAUUAUGGGUUGGGUUGAGCAAACCCAUAAUCUGCACAACCCCGUGUUGAGAAGAUACUGAGGGCCCUCAAAUUGGGGUGGGGUGGGCUCACAAGAGUACACUAAUACUGGCUCUGCUCUGUGUCUUCCUCAGCUUUUAUGACAUUUUUUCGUGACUUAGCAUGUGUUUGCUCCCCUCAAUGGCAUGGAACGCAGUAUAACGUUAUUAGCUUCAUCUUUUCAACAGAAAUAACAAAUUGUCUUGCACCCUUGGGGAGUGACAGAGAGCUUGUCUUUGAGUUUCCAAAUUCUAUCUAUACACACACGUAUACAGAGAGUGAGAAUGAAAAAGAGAAUGGAGAGAAAAGAAGCUUGUGAGGAAUAUAAAUAACACAAAGAAUCCUGACUACACACCAUAAAUAGACUUGGCAGAAUUAGAUGUUUAUUUUUUUAUAAUUUUGAUAAUAGCAAUGUU